rnacentral:misc_RNA from 1 species
GUUUCGGCUCUGAUUUUCAGAAUUUGUUUCUGGGUUUCCUAUACUGAAAUUUCAGCAUUCGUCUUGUAGUGUUUUUUGAUCAUCUAUGUUGUAAUUAGAUGGUCAUAAACAAUACAAACAUGUCUAAUUUCUUGUGAGCUUCUAUUUUGAACUCCCCUAAAAUCCAAAUCAGUUAUUGAAAUAUAAGUGUAGAAAAACAACGGGGGGAAAAUGUCGUCUGCUGGUGUUGCUGUCAGUCCAAUUCACAAUGGUUCUGUACUUCAUUCUGAUUAUGUCAAUGCCCAACCACUCCCCUGCUCUGAUGA